rnacentral:rRNA from 1 species
UACGAAGGGGGCUAGCGUUGCUCGGAAUCACUGGGCGGAAAGCGCACGUAGGCGGACUCUUAAGUCAGGGGUGAAAUCCUGGAGCUCAACUCCAGAACUGCCUUUGAUACUGAGAGCCUUGAGUUCGGGAGAGGUGAGUGGAACUGCGAGUGUAGAGGUGAAAUUCGUAGAUAUUCGCAAGAACACCAGUGGCGAAGGCGGCUCACUGGCCCGAUACUGACGCUGAGGUGCGAAAGCGUGGGGAGCAAACAGG